UGGGGAAUAUUGCACAAUGGGCGCAAGCCUGAUGCAGCCAUGCCGCGUGUAUGAAGAAGGCCUUCGGGUUGUAAAGUACUUUCAGUCGGGAGGAAGGUGUCAAGGUUAAUAACCUUGGCAAUUGACGUUACCGACAGAAGAAGCACCGGCUAACUCCGUGCCAGCAGCCGCGGUAAUACGGAGGGUGCAAGCGUUAAUCGGAAUUACUGGGCGUAAAGCGCACGCAGGCGGUUGAUUGAGUCAGAUGUGAAAUCCCGGCUAGCCGGAUUA
rnacentral:rRNA from 1 species